UCCGGUUUGGCACCGGCAGUCUUCCUAGAGUCCCCGCCAUUACGCGCUGGCAACUAAGAACAGGGGUUGCGCUCGUUGCGGGACUUAACCAAACACCUCACGGCACGAGCUGACGACAGCCAUGCAGCACCUAUAUAGAGACCCUUUCGGGACUUAUCAUCUCUGAUAUCGUCCUCUACAUUUCGAGCCCAGGUAAGGUUCUUCGCGUUGCAUCGAAUUAAACCACAUGCUCCACUGCUUGUGCGGGCCCCCGUCAAUUCCUUUGAGUUUCAACCUUGCGAUUGUACUUCCCAGGUGGAAUACUUAAUGCGUUAGCUUGGAUACUGAUCCUAAAAAGGACCAACAUCUAGUAUUCAUCGUUUAGGGUGUGGACUAC
rnacentral:misc_RNA from 1 species